UACGUAGGUCCCGAGCGUUGUCCGGAUUUAUUGGGCGUAAAGCGAGCGCAGGUGGUUUAUUAAGUCUGGUGUAAAAGGCAGUGGCUCAACCAUUGUAUGCAUUGGCAACUGGUAGACUUGAGUGCAGGAGAGGAGAGUGGAAUUCCAUGUGUAGCGGUGAAAUGCGUAGAUAUAUGGAGGAACACCGGUGGCGAAAGCGGCUCUCUGGCCUGUAACUGACACUGAGGCUCGAAAGCGUGGGGAGCAAACAGG
rnacentral:rRNA from 1 species